AUUGAACGCUGGCGGCAGGCUUAACACAUGCAAGUCGAGCGAGCGGCGGACGGGUGAGUAAUGUCUGGGAAACUGCCUGAUGGAGGGGGAUAACUACUGGAAACGGUAGCUAAUACCGCAUACCAUCAGCUGUGCCCAGAUGGGAUUAGCUAGUAGGUGGGGUAAUGGCUCACCUAGGCGACGAUCCCUAGCUGGUCUGAGAGGAUGACCAGCAAAACUGGAAAUGAGACACGGUCCAGACUCCUACGGGAGGCAGCAGUGGGGAAUAUUGCACAAUGGGCGCAAGCCUGAUGCAGCCAUGCAGCGUGUAUGAAGAAGGCAGUCGGGUUGUAAAGUACUUUCAGCGGGGAGGCGUGACUCGAAGAAGAAGCACCGGCUAACUCCGUGCCAGCAGACGCGGUAAUAC
rnacentral:rRNA from 1 species